ACCAUUAUUGGAUCUGUUCUUUGUAGCUGCAAUACUGAACUAAUGCAAUAACUUAGAGUGAGACAAAAUAUAGUUGUCAGAUUUUAACUUAUUGCAUUAGUUCAGCAGAGUGCAGCUAUAAAGAACUGAUCCUAUAUCUCAAUUCACAGUGCAGAGCGACGAUUUUGACUUAUAGAUUCAAUUUCUACGCGUCAAAAUACACAAUAUAUAUGGUAUAUGUCGUAAUCGGCAUUUCGAAAGGCCUCUGCGUUCCGAGUUCCAAACUCAAAUGCAAGCGGCCUUAUGAACAGCUAAGGAGCGGCACAGGCACAGAAGACGAGGGACAACGGCAGGAGGACCAAGGAUCCAGAGGGACUUAUGGGGCGACGAUCGUGAGGAAGAACAAGAGGAAGAGCCCGAAAAUACAUAAAGAAA